rnacentral:rRNA from 1 species
AUACGAAAGGUGCAAGCGUUGUUCGGAUUUACUGGGCGUAAAGAGAGUGUAGGUUGUUUAUUAAGUCGGAUGUGAAAUCCCGGGGCUCAACCUCGGAACUGCAUUCGAUACUGAUAGGCUAGAGUUUGGGAGGGGUAAGCGGAAUUCCGUGCGUAGCAGUGAAAUGCGUAGAUAUACGGAGGAACACCUGAGGCGAAGGCGGCUUACUGGACCAAUACUGACACUGAGACUCGAAAGCGUGGGUAGCAAACAGGAUUAGAAACCCUAGUAGUCC